CAGUCGCCGCGGUAAGACGAACCGUGCGAACGUUAUUCGGAAUCACUGGGCUUAAAGCGCGUGUAGGCGGGCCGCCACGUCGGCUGCUGAAAUCCCUCGGCUCAACCGGGGAACGGGCACCGAUACGAGCGGUCUCGAGGGGGGUAGGGGGGUCUGGAACUUCCGGUGGAGCGGUGAAAUGCGUUGAGAUCGGAAGGAACGCCCGUGGCGAAAGCGAGGCCCUGGACCCUUUCUGACGCUGAGACGCGAAAGCCAGGGGAGCGAACGGGAUUAGAUACCCCCGUAGUCCCUGUCUCUUAUA
rnacentral:rRNA from 1 species